CCGUGGCACUGGCCGGUGCUAAAGGGGACCUGGAUUCCUGCCCCGACAGCACCUGUCAGUAGUCGUUGGGCAGGACCCUUUAGCACCGGUUCGUGUUACGAA
rnacentral:pre_miRNA from 1 species